rnacentral:lncRNA from 1 species
GGACUAUAUACCUUUAAAUCUUGACCUCAAAUAACCUCCAUCCGUAAGGUGCUUUUCACCAGGCAUUUGUUCAUAGCAUGGAGAAAAGUAAGUGUUCCUAUUUAUAAGGACCUUAAAGCAGGAGGUUCCUAGGUGUGGUGUGCAGUGCCCAUGGGAGGUAAGAUCCAGUUAUGUUCCAAAGUUUGGGGACAAAGUGAAAAAACAAAAUUGUGAGGAGAGUUAUGAACUACAGGGUGUUAUCAAAACAAAAGCCUCUUACAGCAGAGGAAUCAACCCCACAGUCAAUAGAUUAGGUGUCAGAGAGGAGGAGAGACCUAACAGGGCUGUGGCUUCACUUGGACCAUCCAAUCUCACGGCUGUGUGGAACACACAUGUCCUAAUUAUGUGGUAUGGCAACACCCAUUGGUCAGUGGUGGUGGUCAACACGAUGUCUCACACAGGGGCCUGGCAGAAUCGAGUAUGCAGUGUGGAGGAGCUUGUUCCUUCUACGGAUGAAGGAGACCAUCUGUUAGAGGCCACCUGUAGCAACCUGAAGACACUUUGA